UGGGGUAUAUUGGACAAUGGGCGCAAGCCUGAUCCAGCCAUGCCGCGUGAGUGAUGAAGGCCCUAGGGUUGUAAAGCUCUUUCACCGGUGAAGAUAAUGACGGUAACCGGAGAAGAAGCCCCGGCUAACUUCGUGCCAGCAGCCGCGGUAAUACGAAGGGGGCUAGCGUUGUUCGGAUUUACUGGGCGUAAAGCGCACGUAGGCGGACUUUUAAGUCAGGGGUGAAAUCCCGGGGCUCAACCCCGGAACUGCCUUUGAUACUGGAAGUCUUGAGUAUGGUAGAGGUGAGUGGAAUUCCGAGUGUAGAGGUGAAAUUCGUAGAUAUACGGAGGAACACCAGUGGCGAAGGAGGGUCACUGGACGAUUACUGACGCUGAGGUGCGAAAGAGUGGGGAGCAAACAGG
rnacentral:rRNA from 1 species